AUUGUUAAACUGCCUUAAUGG
rnacentral:siRNA from 1 species